AACGAACGCUGGCGGCAUGCCUAACACAUGCAAGUCGAACGAUCCCUUCGGGGAUAGUGGCGCACGGGUGCGUAACGCGUGGGAAUCUGCCCUUGGCUUCGGAAUAACAGUUAGAAAUGACUGCUAAUACCGGAUGAUGUCUUCGGACCAAAGAUUUAUCGGCCAGGGAUGAGCCCGCGUAGGAUUAGGUAGUUGGUGAGGUAAAGGCUCACCAAGCCGACGAUCCUUAGCUGGUCUGAGAGGAUGAUCAGCCACACUGGGACUGAGACACGGCCCAGACUCCUACGGGAGGCAGCAGUGGGGAAUAUUGGACAAUGGGCGCAAGCCUGAUCCAGCAAUGCCGCGUGAGUGAUGAAGGCCUUCGGGUCGUAAAGCUCUUUUACCCGGGAUGAUAAUGACAGUACCGGGAGAAUAAGCUCCGGCUAACUCCGUGCCAGCCGCCGCCGUAA
rnacentral:rRNA from 1 species